UACCAGCACCCCGAGUGUUCGGGACGAUUAUUGGGCCUAAAGCAUCCGUAGCCGGCCUUACAAGUCCUCCGUUAAAUCCAGCUGCUUAACAGAUGGGCUGCGGAGGAUACUAUAAGACUAGGAGGCAGGAGAGGCAAGCGGUACUCAGUGGGUAGGGGUAAAAUCCGUUGAUCCAUUGAAGACCACCAGUGGCGAAGGCGGCUUGCCAGAAUGCGCUCGACGGUGAGGGAUGAAAGCUGGGGGAGCAAACCGG
rnacentral:rRNA from 1 species